CAUCAAGACCUCCAGAAAGUGAUAUCAUCUCUAGGUGAAAAUACGAAAUCCUUUUACUACUCUAUUUCUUGUCUCACUCAUUCAAAUUAUUAUAUGUACACAAAUUCAUGUCAUCCUGAACUUGUUACACCGGUGCAGAAGCAAAAAACAGAUGCACAAGUUCAUCUUUUGUGACACAUUCAAUACGAAUUCCUUUGCUACGUGAUGAUUUCACCGAGUUGGGGAUUCAGUGAUGCUGCUUGGUGCACGAAAGAACCAAAUUAUUUUGCAUUCAGCCGCUAGUGGAGUUGGUCUCGUGGACCACAAAAUUAGCUUGAUCUGAAGCUAGCUAGCUUGAUGUGAAGCUCCCCCUGGGUUCAGUUAGCUAGAUGGUGAAGUCAACUACUAGUUUUGGUGUAGAAACAAGACAGGGGAUCAAUUAAACUCUAGUUGUGCAUUGUUUGUUUAUGCUAGUACGCUUAGGCCUAAUUUUUGUACCUCCAUGUUUAUGUAUUAAGAUAGUUGUAUGAGUCAUGUUUUUGUAUUAGGAUAGUUGUACCUGCAUAUAGUUUUUAUAAUUUCCAUGGGAAACUAAUAUUCAUGCACCUCUUUGGUGGAUGUUUUGAUAUAUUUCAUUCAAGAAUUGUAGUUGUCGGAUGGUGUUACACAAUUACUAUUCUAGCAUCAUUGUUUAUAUUGUAUUUUUUUAGCAUUCUUGCAACCCUAUUAGCAACAUAUUUUUGUGCAGUGUUUGUUGGCUUUUCUUUGAUUUAUGGACAUCUUGGGCUUCCUGGGUGCAGAAUCAAGAAGGCCAGUGAGAGGUACUAGUAGAAGAGGAAGAAGUAAAUGUGAAAAAUGAGAUAAAUGUGAGAAUAGCUAGUAGAAAAGCGUGGUUUCAGAUUUUUUUUCAGGUUCUUGUUGUACACGUACCUUUGGUAUGCAGAUGCACCGUAAUGCCUCACUGGUGCACUAUGCAUCUUUGGCAGUUUUUAUGCAUUUUUUGUCGUUGUGCAGCAAUUUAAUGGUGCGCUAUGUACCGAAGUAUGCAUUCUCGAAUCCGGG
rnacentral:lncRNA from 1 species